AACCUUCUGGUCAAUUCUCAAGAUCCUUUCCAGGUUAUGACAUCGCGAUAUCAUGAACCUUGUUGGGUACUGCUGCAAUGGCACUUCUCUGUUUCUGCUCUUUGACUACACUUGUAUGGGUAUCAUUGAAAUCCAAUUUCAAUAUAAGCAACAUCUUCUGCUAUUGGAAAAAAAAUAUAUAUAUAAUUUUGCAUUGCGUGUGACUUAAUAUAUGUACAUGUCCUUGUUUGGGUAACAAACUUAAAACUGAGCUUCUAAUUGAGUUCACAGGUGAUGAUGCUGCUAAGAACAUGCCAGGGGAACCUAGGUGGUAUAUAGCUCUCGAAAUAGGUGGAAGUUUACUAUAUCUUCACGAGGAGUUUGUUGAUGGAGCCAUUGCGAUGCUCACUGUGUCGUGUUCUAAUGUUGCCAUUUUUCAUGGUGGUGGUACCAUGCUUGGAGGAAGAUAAAUACCUCUCUAUGGAUAUACAUUCCUGUGGGAUCUUGCUCCUUGAGCUCAUUAGGGGAAAGAGUGAUUGUGUUUUCUGAGACCAUAACAAGGGUAAUCUCUCAUAUACUGGGCAUUACCACUUUUAGAAAAUGGUUGCUUGAGUGAGGUCAUGGAUCCAAGAUUACUGAGGUGGUAUAUCAUAUGGCACAAGCUGCUCUUCUUUGCCUGAAAAGUGAUUCAGGCCACAGAUUUUUUGAGUGAGGUUUUAACUGUUGUUCGAGGUGACCAACUUGUAACAAGGGAUUGCUAAAGUUCCUCAAAAGGGAGUCAACCAAAUACCAGUUCUUGUUCUGUAUAAAUAAAAUGUUAAAGAAGGAUAUAAUGCUACAAGUUAUUGUAUAUGUAAGGAUUCAUGAAGAUUUGAUUUG